UUUUGGUGUUGUUGUUGUUCUUCUCCUUCGUGAAGUGGAAGAAGAAUAUAACAAAA
rnacentral:sRNA from 1 species